rnacentral:rRNA from 1 species
AAACUCAAAGGAAUUGACGGGGACCCGCACAAGCAGCGGAGCGUGUGGUUUAAUUCGUUGCUACACGAAGAACCUUACCUGGGUUUGACAUAUAGGUUGUAGGGAACUGAAAAGGGACCGACCCUUCGGGGAGCCUAUACAGGUGUUGCAUGGCUGUCGUCAGCUCGUGUCGUGAGAUGUUCGGUUAAGUCCGCUAACGAGCGCAACCCUCGUCGUAUGUUAUAUGUGUCAUACGAGACUGCCGGUAAAAAGCCGGAGGAAGGUGAGGAUGAUGUCAAGUCAGCAUGACCUUUAUAUCCAGGGCUACACACACGCUACAAUGGUCUGUACAAUGGGUAGCCAAGCCGCGAGGCGGAGCCAAUCCUGAAAGCAGGCCUCAGUUCAGAUUGCAGUCUGCAACUCGACUGCAUGAAGCCGGAGUUGCUAGUAACCGCAGGUCAGCAAUACUGCGGUGAAUACGUUCCCGGGUCUU